GAUCCGAUAGCUCAGUAGGUAGAGCAACUGGCUUUUAACCAGUGGGUCGCAGGUUCGAUCCCUGCUCGGAUCACCA
rnacentral:tRNA from 1 species